UUUCCUAUGAAUAUUCAGGACUGAUUUACUUUAGGAUUGACUCGUUUGAGCUCCUUGCUGUCCAAGGGACUCUAAAGAGUCUUCUCAAGCACUGAAAUUCAAAAGCAUCAUUUCUUCAGUGUGUACCCUUUGUUAUGGUCUGACUCACAUCCAUAAUAGCUACUGGAAAAACCAUAGCUUUGACUAUACGGACCUUUGAAGUGGUUGCGGCACAGGUUGCUGCAAGCUCUUCCUGCGCCAGACGCUUAGUGACCUUUGGAACAAGGAGGGUGAGGGUCCUGGCACCUUUUCCCUUGGUGCCGGUUUUCUCGAAGCCUUUGCUAGCCAGGCCUCGUGGCCGCCUCCAUGAAAACCACUGACGGGUGGAGCCCCACGUGGCCGGCUGUACUGUGCUGCUGGGCCAGACGAUGGCCAAGAAGCUGCUGCUGAGGGCCCCUUCUCUCCGUGUCCUCUGCUUUCCAAGCCCCCCAAGCCUGCCCUGCUGCCUGCCAGCCCAUGAACACCCGCCGCACUGGCUACCAAGUCUUCUCCGUCAGCUCCAUGGCCGCCAGAACCGAGAUAGACAAGUGUUCUGCUGCUUGCUGCUUGAAAACAUACUCAAGAGAUUAGUGUUUGUUGGAAAGGAAAAGUUGAUUUAUUCAGGAUGUCAGCAACCUGGGAGAAGGCCGACUGGUGUCUAGUGUCGAAAAGCCAACUCCAAAGAUUCUGCUUGACCAUGAACGUUUUCAAAGGGAGACUCAUUUGAGGAGGAGGGAUACGUGUCUUCCUUAUCUUCCCCUGUGCAGACUUUCUUCUGAUUGGUCAGUGGUGAGGUAGAAGGUUCCAGGAAUCUGGUGCUCAGCCUUAAGAUACCAUUCUCCACCCCGGGUGGGGCCUCAUUCCUACUGAAGAACUCAAAGGACAUUGUUAUACGCCUUGAGGAGGAGCCACGACCCUGCCCCGCAGCUGCACUAUUACUUCUUGACUGUUCCUCCUUUGUUUCUGCUUCCCCUCCCUUCCCUGAUAAUAAGCACCUGUUUAAAUCUGCGGAACUCAGGGAAGGUCAGGAGGCUGAAUGAACCCUGUUUCCUACAAACAAGAAAUGGGGGACACGGAAAGGAGUGUAUCAGAGGGCUUACAAGAUCCUAGCUCCCCUGUCAGGGACUAAACCCGAGCCCUUGGCAGCGAAAUCGUGGAGUCCUAACCGCUGGACUGCCAGGGAAUUCCUCCUUUGUUUUUCCUUAUAUUUGACUGACAAUUAAAUAUUAAUGUUCACCAUA